rnacentral:rRNA from 1 species
UGAUCCUGGCUCAGGAUGAACGCUAGCGGCAGGCUUAAUACAUGCAAGUCGAGGGGCAGCACGAUAGCAAUAUUGGUGGCGACCGGCGCACGGGUGCGUAACACGUAUACAAUCUACCUAAAACAGGGGGAUAGCCUUUCGAAAGAGAGAUUAAUACCCCGUAAUAUAUUUGAUGGCAUCAUUGAAUAUUGAAAGCUCCGGCGGUUUUAGAUGAGUAUGCGUCUGAUUAGCUAGUAGGUGAGGUAACGGCUCACCUAGGCGACGAUCAGUAGGGGAUCUGAGAGGACUACCCCCCACACUGGUACUGAGACACGGACCAGACUCCUACGGGAGGCAGCAG